UUAAACGGCCGCGGUAUCCUAACCGUGCAAAGGUAGCGUAAUCACUUGUCCCUUAAAUAGGGACUAGUAUGAAUGGUUAAAUGAGGAUAGACCUGUCUCUCGUGGAAAAUCAGUGAAACUGAACUUCCAGUACAAAUGCUGGAAUACACACACAAGACGAGAAGACCCUGCGGAGCUUUUAAACACCCCUCAAACGAUAAAUUGAGUACGAGUUUUCAGUUGGGGCGACUUCGGAACAAAACCAAGCUUCCGAGCAUAAGAGAUUUACCUCUCGCAACGGCCAACAAGCCAAAGCACUUAAAUAUUGACCCGGGCCAAUAAACCCGAUUAACGAACCAAGUUACCCCAGGGAUAACAGCGCUAUCUUCUUUAAGAGUCCAUAUCAACAAGUAAGGCUUACGACCUCGAUGUUGGAUCAGGACAC
rnacentral:rRNA from 1 species